rnacentral:rRNA from 1 species
CGGAGGAUCCAAGCGUUAUCCGGAAUCAUUGGGUUUAAAGGGUCCGUAGGCGGUUUGGUAAGUCAGUGGUGAAAGCCCAUCGCUCAACGGUGGAACGGCCAUUGAUACUGCCAGACUUGAAUUAUUAGGAAGUAACUAGAAUAUGUAGUGUAGCGGUGAAAUGCUUAGAGAUUACAUGGAAUACCAAUUGCGAAGGCAGGUUACUACUAAUGGAUUGACGCUGAUGGACGAAAGCGUGGGUAGCGAACAGGAUUAGAUACCCUGGUAGUCCACGCCGUAAACGAUGGAUACUAGCUGUUGGGAGCGAUCUCAGUGGCUAAGCGAAAGUGAUAAGUAUCCCACCUGGGGAGUACGUUCGCAAGAAUG